GUCAUUGUAGCAAUACAAGGCAGACGGCUCAUUAACGCGUAGUCAACCUACCCUAUGGACGGGAAUAACCUCGGGAAACUGAGUAUAAUGCCCGAUAGAACACUAUACCUGGAAUGGUUUGUGUUCCAAAUGAUUUAUCGCCAUAGGAUGGGACUGCGGCCUAUCAGUUUGUUGGUGAGGUAAUGGCCCACCAAGACUAUUACAGGUACGGGCUCUGAGAGGAGUGGCCCGGAGAUGGGUACUGAGACACGGACCCAGGCCCUAUGGGGCGCAGCAGGCGAGAAAACUUUGCAAUGUGCGAAAGCACGACAAGGUUAAUCCGAGUGGUUUCUGCUAAAGGAACCUUUUGUCAGUCCUAGAAACACUAACGAAUAAGGGGUGGGCAAGUUCUGGUGUCAGCCGCCGCGGUAAAACCAGCACCUCAAGUGGUCAGGAUGAUUAUUGGGCCUAAAGCAUCCGUAGCCGGUUCUGGAAGUUUUCGGUUAAAUCUGUACGCUUAACGUACAGGCUGCCGGGAAUACUGCAGAGCUAGGGAGUGGGAGAGGUAGACGGUACUCGGUAGGAAGGGGUAAAAUCCUUUGAUCUAUUGAUGACCACCUG
rnacentral:rRNA from 1 species